rnacentral:lncRNA from 1 species
GCUUUUCAUCUCUAAAUCAUUAUGCAGGUUGUUUCUCAAACCCAUUGAACAUAGUGAUCGGACGUCAUCUCCCAAUUUUGAAUUCCCUGUAUUCGAGGCGGACGAAGAUGAUGUUGAAGGGAUUCCUGACGAGAUUUCCCGACCUCUUGAGCAAGAAAAGAAGAUCACUCAGCUGCACCUCGAGAAUCAGCAGAACAGCCAACUGGGGCAUUAUCAAAAAAAAAAAAAGGGAAAAAAAAGAAAAAGAAAGAGGAGGGUGCAAAACCAAAUCAAAAGAAAACCAAAUCAAAAGAAAUCCAAAUCAAAAGAAAGAAAAAGAAAGAAAGAAACAAGAAAUAUAGCACCCUCAAAGUCCCAAGUUGACUGAUGCUGAGUUCAAUCAAAAUCAAAGAGAUCAGCUGCCAUGUGUCAUGGUCAGUCAUAUCAGCAGAGAGU